AGUGAACGCUGGCGGUAGGCCUAACACAUGCAAGUCGAACGGCAGCACAGUAAGAGCUUGCUCUUACGGGUGGCGAGUGGCGGACGGGUGAGGAAUACAUCGGAAUCUACUUUUUCGUGGGGGAUAACGUAGGGAAACUUACGCUAAUACCGCAUACGGCCUACGGGUGAAAGCAGGGGAUCUUGGACCCUGCGCGAUUGAAUGAGCCGAUGUCGGAUUAGCUAGUUGGCGGGGUAAAGGCCCACCAAGGCGACGAUCCGUAGCUGGUCUGAGAGGAUGAUCAGCCACACUGGAACUGAGACACGGUCCAGACUCCUACGGGAGGCAGCAGUGGGGAAUAUUGGACAAUGGGCGCAAGCCUGAUCCAGCCAUACCGCGUGGGUGAAGAAGGCCUUCGGGUUGUAAAGCCCUUUUGUUGGGAAAGAAAAGCAGCAGGUUAAUACCCCGCUGUUCUGACGGUACCCAAAGAAUAAGCACCGGCUAACUUCGUG
rnacentral:rRNA from 1 species